GGUUUAAUAGCACAAUGGUUAGUGCCUCUGCUACUAUCAUUGGUGGCCAUACAUACAUAACCUUCUGCAGAAGACCCCUGUUCGAUUCGGAGUCAGACUU